rnacentral:lncRNA from 1 species
GAUGCGGGCAUUCACCAAGAUGGCGGUUGUGAGACUUGCUCCGUCUAGUCUGUCCAGUGUGGGUGGACCCCACAUUAGCGGACUUCCAGAACAAGCCCGAUCCUUAAGGGCUUUGUGGUCUCACGGGGCUGUCUGUCAGAACCAGCAACUGCAGGAUGGAGCUGCGGUCAUCUCCACAAGGACUUCAUCUUCUCAAGAGCUCUGGAGCAUCACAUAAAUCAGUCAUCAACCUUUCUACAAGGGCUCACAGAAGACAUCUGAAGCAGAUGACACCGUCUCUGGCAAGCCAUUUCUGGGAAGAGGUGCUCUGCUCUCAGGUAUGGAGGUGCUCCUGGUGACUGUCUUUGAGCUCUUGGCACAGGUAGGAAUUGGAAGGAUCCCCCACCCCCGACUGCUCCUAUGUCCCUGCACCCAGCAGGCAGAGAUGACACUAGACCAUUCCCUCUUGGGCUGGGAAUGUGGGCAGAGGGUAGUCUCCUUUGAUUUCUCAGGAGUGUCCUCACUUCUGAGGGUCCAGCUCUCUCCCCCACAGGAUUUGGGAGCAGGGAGCUGUUUGACUCAUUCAGUUCAGUUCUGGGCACCGACCAGAACUGCAGGUACCUGCUGCUAACAGUUCCUAUAUUACUGUGUCCAGAGGAACUAUGCAGUUUCCUGUCUGACCAGGGAUGUGGGCAGAGGUGAGCAGAAGUGUCCUGCGGUUUCAGGAUGUUCUGCACUUCUCAGUUUUCAGCUCUCUUCCCCACGGGAUUUGAGAUUAGGGAUCUACACUCUCAUUCUCAUUUCCUAUUUUUUUGCUUGAAGGAGAAUUGAUGAUACACCAGCAUAUUUUCUGAAGUCCACAUGCUUCUUGAUCAUUUUGUUAUUUUAGGGUGUUAAUUAGUUGUUAAGGUAGAGCUUCAUGUAAAUAAUGCAAGAAUGAAUUAUAUUUUGAAAAUAUUCUUUUGCUUAUUGAAUAUUUUCUUUAAAACUCUGACUUGUCCAACUUUACUUUUUCAUUCUGUCAGUCCAUUUAUUCCCCACAUGUAACUUAAAUAUCUAUUGUGUAUAAUACACAUUCUAAUAUAUCUCAAGAUCUUCCCAUUCCUCAACCUUUACAUUCCUCUGCCCAGUCAAGCUUCCUUACAUUAUAUGAAUGUAAAUAUAACAUGAAAUGAACUUUGCUAUUUGGAAACCUCGUUUCUUUUUGCUGAAACCUUUUGGACUCUCAUGUAUAGGAGAUUGGAUGCCAUAGGUUAUCUCCUUGUAUUUAUAUUUACCCAAUUUGUUGUAAGUCCAGGGACACAUCGACCAUUUUACCACAAAGCCUGAGGUCCUGCUUUACUACCUUUUAGCCCCUGUGUUACCAUGGAUACUUUAUCUAUUACCUAAGCAGUAUGUGGUGAUCCUAAUGGCAGCAAAUAUGGAAACCUUAAUCGUGGGUGUAAAAAAAUGAAAUUUGGAAAUGAAAAGAGUCAAAGUAUUGGUGACUGGGGGUUUCAAUUUUUCAUUUGUUGCUAAAAUUUACGGAGAUACAAAUAGUCUGUAGAUCUGCAUCUGUAGGUCAUGCCUAUGUUGUGUCAGUCAUCUAGCAUAAGACCCACAACAUGUCAGUCACCCACAAGUCAUACAGGUUAUCAAAAAUCUGUCCCUAAAACCUACAUAGCCUGUUAAUUAUCCAAAGGAAAAGCCCACAGCCUGGCAACCAUCCAUAAGAAUUGCCCAUGUCCUGUCAGUCAUCCACUGGAAACCCCCUCAUCCUGUCAAUCAUCUAUCAGCAACUCACAAAACCUGUCAGUCACCCAGAAGAAAUUAUCACAGUCUGUCAAUCAGACCUAACAAAUGGCCAUAGUCUAUUAAUCACCCACAGGACAUGCCCACAAAGUUAUAUACAAACCCCUCAGAGCCUGUUAGUCAUUCAUUAGAAACUCCCAUAGCCUCUCAUUCAAUGGAGAGACCCACAGCUUGUCAGUCUUUCAUAACAUAUCUUAGAGCCUGUCAAUUAUUCAUAGGUAGAGUCAACAGCCUGUCUCUCAACCGUAGGAAACACAUACCAACUUUGUCACUUGUCCAAAGUACAAGCCCACACUAUGUCAGUCAUUCACAGGAAAUACCCACACCCUGUCCAUCAUUCAUAAGGAACACCCAACGCCUGUCAACCAUACAUAGUACACAUCUACAAUUGUUCAAUAUGCAUAGCAAACAUGCACAGCCUUCCAGUCAGUCAUCCAUAUUAGCUGACUGCUACCUGCAAAUCAUCCAUAGAAAGUACCCACAACCUGUCAGGCAUUCAUAGGAAACACCUACAACAUGUCAAUCAUCCGUAGGAAGGAGUUACAGCCUGUUUGUCACCUACAUGGCAGACCCCCAACCUGGCAACCAUCUGUGGGAAAAACCUGCAGCCUAUCAAACACCCAUAGGAAUUGCCCACAGCCUUAGAACCAUUUCUAAAAAAUGCCCAUAUCCUCUGAAAAUCCACAGAGAAAGUCAACAGCCUUUCAGUCAUCUAUUGGAAACACACACAGUCUGUUAGUCAUCUAGAGGACACACACAUUGCUUGAGAGUCAUCCAUAGGAAAAACUAAGUGCAUGCCAUGCAUGCAUAGGAAAUGACCACAGCAAGCCAAUUGUGCAUAGGAAUUUCCAAUAGUCUGUCAGUUAUCAAGAGAAAAUUCACACAGUCUGUCAAUUAUACAAAGUAAAUAUCAACAGUAUUCAAUUAAAUAUUAAACAUAGAAAUGUUCAAAAACCCACAACCCCCACACACUCACAACAUAAAUAGGGACGUGAUAAACCUGGGAGACAGCACACAAUAAAUCAUGCUGAUAGCAAAGAUCCAUCUCUGCCUCCGGCUCCUCUCCUACAUCAUUCAGACCUCAGGUUUGCCAUGCAGAGCCGAUCCUGUUACCAUGCCUGCUUGAAAUCAAAUGGGGAGAUGUUUGUGAUGAUGAACUUCAUCAAUGUAUUCUAAUAGCUUUAUAAAAAUCAUGUAGUGAAGGAAGCGCAGGAUUUUGUUUCUGUUGACAGCACAUUUUCAGAAGGGUUUAGUCCACGGUUUUUCUGCAUACGGUAGCUAAUUCUUCAGAGCUCCUGAUAAAGCAGAAAAGUGUGAAAACAAGGCCCUGCCUUGUGUGUCCAUUCAAGAGUCCAACCUCACCUUAUUUCAAUUAUAUUGACAAUAGCAACAAGAAACGUCAGAAAAAUGAAAGGAAAUGCCUCAUUGUGAAUAUGAUCACAGUUUACCAAGGAUAUAAACACAAAUGUUUACACAAUAUGAACAUAGAAUUAAUAUUUAUUUAAUAAAUCCCAGUGAGAGGUUUACAGCGUGCCUCAAUUGUUUACAUUCCUGAAUGAAAGACACACACACACACACACACACACACACACACACACACACCCCUACACAAAGGGAGUAUAAAAUAGUCAUAGGAGGGAAUACAAAGUGUGAAGCAGAGACUGAAGGAAAGGCCAUCCAGAGAGUGCAACAUAAGGGGAUCCAUCCCACAUGCAGUCACCAAACUCAGGCACUCUUGGGGAUGCCAAGAGGUGCAUGCUGACAGGAGCCUGAUAUAGGUGUCAUCUGAGAGGCUCUGCCAGAGCCUGAGAAAUUUAGAGGCAAUGUUCUCAACAAACCAUUGGACUGAGAAGUGGGACCACAAUGGAGGAGUUAGAGAAAGGACCCCAUAGGAAGAAAAACAAUGUCAACCAACCAGAUACCGCAGAGCUUCCAGGGACUAAAGCUCCAAGUAAAGCAUACACAUGGAGCAACCCCUGGCUCCAGCAGAAUAUGGAGCAGAAGAUGGACCUUGUUGGGCAUCAAUGGGAAGGGAGGCCUGUGGUCCUGUGAAGACACAAUGCCCCAGUGAAGGAGAAUGCCAGGGCAGGGAAGCAGGUGGGAGUGGGUGGGAGGGUGGGGAGUGCCCUUAUGGAGGCAUGGUGUGGGGUGAUGUGAUGGGCUGAGGUUUUCUGGAGGGGAAUCAUUUCAUAUGUAAAUAAAAAAUCUUACGAAUGAAAUGAAAAAGAGUAGAGGGCUAUUCCUAUAAAAACUGGAAAUCAAUGGAACUAAAUAUUUUCUGAGGGCAGUUUAAAGAAGAAAAUGUCUGUGGAAAUUUAGAAGAUGGUAAGUGACCUCAAAACAUUCCAUGUUCUAUGUUGAAGAGAAUUUUGUCUUCUGAAUUCUAAAACUGACUCUUUUUCCAUUCUUAAUCCUGUAGGAGAGCGAGGUCCACCUAAUUCCUACUCUUUCAUGCUUACUGAUCAAGAAAAUAGUUCUCUCCUUCUAAAUUCACUGUUUAUGAGUCUAGAACUUCUUUGUUGUUACUUUGGUUGCAACAAUUGCAUCCCCCUACACUCUGUUGCAACUCUGAGAUUUUCAGUGCACUUUAAAAAUUGAUUCUAUAGUAUUUUAUCCUUUGGAAUAUUUUUAGGUCUAGAGAUAUGGCUCAGUCGUUAAGAGCAGUGGCUAACUGCACUUCUAGGAGACCUGAGUCUAAUAUGCAGCUGUACAUUUUGGCCUUCAACUGUGUGUAACUACAGUUUGAAGGGGAUGUGGAAUUCUAUUCUGGAUGCUACAGACACUACAUUCAUUUGGUGCACAGAAAUACAUGCUAAGUAUCUAUACAGGUCAAAUAUCAAAAUAAUACAUACUUACCCAUGGGUGUCUGUUUUUACCACCUAUGUUGCACCUAUAGUGUCCAGAAGAGAGGUUCAGGUCCCAGAGAUGUAAGUGCUCUUAGGCACUGGAUGAUUCUGAGAAUAGAAAUAGGUUGUUGGAAAAUGCAACCAACCCUUAUCAAUAUUGAGUCAUUCCUCUAAGCCCCACAUUGAUUUUCCCUAUUUUAUGGUGUAAUUUUGCUUUGUUUUUGUCCAUGGCAGUUGGAGCUCUUCAAGAGAGCACUACUUCUUAAGCCCUCCCAGGUCAGGCUUUCGGGUCCCUGGGUUUAUCAAUUAAAAUUGGGGUACAAAGAUAAGCAGAGAAUUCUCAACAAAGGAAUUUCAAAUGGCCAAGAAGCACUUAAAGAAAUCUUCAAAGUCCUUAACCAUCUUUGAAAUGAGAAUCAAAAUGAUGCUGAGAUUUCAUAUACACUGUUAGAAAGGCUAAGUCCAUAAUUUCAAGUGAUAGUACAUGCUGGUAAGGAUGUGGAGCACAGAAAAGAUUUUUUCAUUGUUGCUGGAGUAGAAAUUUGUACAAUCAAUUUGGAAAAUUAAUUUGGCUUUUUCUCUGAAUACUCAAAAUAAUUUUACCUCAAGACCUAGCUAUACCACUCCUAGGCAUUUACACAAACGGUUACCUACUAUACAACAGGGACACUUGCUCAACUAUGAUCAUAGUAGCUUUGUUCAUAAUACCCAUAAACUAGAAACAAUUCAAUUGCCCCUAAAACAAGGAUGGAUAAAAAAUAAUGUGGUACAUUUGCACUGUAGAAUACUAUUCAGCUAUGAAAAACAAAGACAUCUUGAAUUUUGCAAGCAAAUAGGUGGAAAUUGAGAAUAUCAUCCUGAGUUAGGUAACCCACACCCAAAAACAUGCAUUGAAUGUACUGACUUAUAAGUGCUUAUUAGUCAAAAUUACAGUGUAAUCAUAAUAUACCGUAUAUACAGAAAGAUACUGAAUAUGAAGGAAAGCUCAAUAUAAAAUACCUGAUUCUCACUUAGGAGGGGGAAUAAAAUAGUCAUAGGAGAAAUAUGUAGGGAGAGAACUGAGUAAGAGAGGGAUAGGAAGAGGAAUAGGGAAUGAGUUGAGUAUGAAGUUUGAGGAGAGACAGAAGAGAGGGCUGGAGAACCAGAAGUGUAAAUGAAAACCUAUAGCUGGAGAGAGGGAGAGAGAGAGAGAGAGAGAGAGAGAGAGAGAGAGAGAGAGAGAGAGAGAGAGAGAGAGAGAGAGAGAGAGAGAGAGACAGAGAGAGAGACAGAGACAGAGAGACAGAGAGAGACAGACAGAGGCAGAGAGAGACAGAGUUGGGGGGUGCGGAAGGUGGGAACAUCUUGAGGAUAUACCAGACACCUGGAGUGGGACAUUUCCCACGGUAAAUAGUGGUGACAUUAGCUGAUACUCCUGGCAGUGGGGAUAUGGAAACUGAAGAUGCCACUUCUGUAGCCACACAGGAACUCCAGUGGGAAUAUAAGGACAACAACCCACAAGAAGACACAAAACUUUUGACCCCAAGUUUAUCCUUCCUACAAGAAAUGCAGAGAGAAAUGUGGAGCAGAGACUAUGGGAAUGGACAACCUAUAAAGGUCCUAAGUUUAGACCCAUCCACAGGCAAGUACAAGUUCCUGACAAUAUUAAUGAUACUUUGUUAUACUAGAAGACAAAGGAAUCACUUAACCCUCCGCUGACAGGUUCUACCUAGCAGCUGACUGAAACAGAUUCAGAAACCCAUAGUGAAACAUUGUAUCAUGCCUACAGACUCUUAUGGGAGAUUUAGGGGAAUGAGUGAGGGCCUGGAACAGAACAUCAACUACACAGAAUACCAACAGAGUCAUCUAAACUGAACCUUUGGGACCUCUCAGAGACUGAACAAUGUAGUACAUGAAGCAGACCUUGUCUGACACACAUUUGUUGAAGAUGUGCAGCUCACUCUUUAUUUCGAGUGCUAAAAGUGGGGUGGGAGCUCUUUUUAAAGCCGUUUCUUGUCUGUGAAAUCUGAUACUUUUUCUAGACUCAGUAGGAGUGGAUGAACGUAAUCCUGCUGUUUCUUGAUGUGGCAAGGUGCGGGAAUACUCACGGGGCUGGGGAGUUCAACCUCUUAGAGGAGGAGGAGAGGUGGGAUGGAAGGAAGAAUGGUGUUAGGAUGGUCUCAGAGGGGGCAAUGAUUGAGAUAUAAAGUGAAUAAAAAUAUAAAAAAUAAAACAAAAGUAUAUGUAAUAUAUAGCAGAGGACCCCUUGGUCAGGCUUCUGUCACAGAAGAUGCCACUAAUCCUCAAGAGAUUGGAGGCCCCAGGAAGUUUAGACGUUUUGUGGGUGUGGAUAUCCCCAGUAGAAUUGGCGGGGGGUUAUGGGAUCCAGAAUUCUUGGGGAAUGGGCCAGGAGGGGAAUAAUAUCUAGAGUGUAAAAUUGAUUAAUUUAUUUACUAAUUAAAAAUUCUUUGGAUCUUUGUAGAUGUAAAAUUGUCAGUAUAACCCUUUAAGAAAUUAUUCAUAUCUACAUCAAAAUGAUAAUUCACCAUUAUAAAGCUCUCAUGAUCCUAGAGAUGCAGAUAAGAUCUUGUCUAUCUAGAGGAUUAAAUAUUAUUUAUUGCAUUAUUAAAGUCAGAGUCUAUAUGACCAACUGAGGAGAGGUAAAAUGGUUUUGAAAUUAUUCAACGUUAGUAUUGAAAGACAUCCUUGAGAGAAUAGGGAUACCCAGUGUCCUAGUUAGGGUAUUACUGCUGUGAAUAGACACCAUGACCAAGACAAAUCUUAUGAAGGACAACGUUUAAUUGGGGCUGGUUUAUGUGUUCAGAGGUUCACUUGAUUAUCAUCAAGGUAGGGGUAUGGUGGCAUCCAGGGAGACAUGGUGCAGGAGGAGCUGAGAGACUACAUCUUUAUGUGAAGGCUGUUAGUUUAAGACUGACUCCCAUGCAGCUAGGAUCAGGGUCCUAAAGCCUACACCUCAGUGACACACAUUCCAACAUGGUCACAACUUGGAAUAUUGCUAUUCCCUGGGCUUCACACAUAUAAACCAUCAGACCCAGGAUACAGUUCAAUAUAAUAAAGACAAGAUAAGAAUGGUACACAGCAAAUAUCAUUCUAAAAUAUAUAUGCCCAAGCAUUCACACUAAAUCAGAAAUCAGAAAUGUGAAAAGUAUAUUUGAUCUUCCCCUGUUCAAUAAAAUCAUUGAAGUCUUAGCUAGAAUAAGAGCACAAGUGAAUGAGAUAGAUGUACACCCUUGAAAGAAUGAAGCCAAUGUCACUUUAUUUAGGCCUGGGUGGUUGAUAUACACAAAAGACUCUAAAGCCUCCACCAAAAUUCCCCUGCAGCUAUUCAAUUGUUCAGCAUUGUAUUAGAGGAAAAGCAAUGCAUAAAACCAAGUUAGUUUCCUAAAUCCAAAUACCCAGCACACUCUGCAAAUAAGCAAACUAACAGAUUCUCACAGAUAUUAUAGAUUAAAUAUAACCAAGGAAUUGAAUGACUUGUACAGUUAAAAACUCUAAACUUAAUGUAAAUUAACAGAAGAAGAUACAGUAACAUGGAAAGGCCCCACGCUCCUAGGUCAGAAGGAUUAAUAUGGUGGAGUUGGAUGUGAUGGUUUAUAUUUCCUUGGCUCAGGGGUGGCACUAUUAGAAGCAUGGUCCUGUUGGAGUAGGUGUGGCCCUGUUGGAGUAGGUGUGCGACUGUGUGUAAGGGGUUUAACACACUCAUCCUAGCUGCCUAGAAGGCAGUAUUCUGUAGGACCAUCCAGAUGAAGAUCUACAGCUCUCAGAUCCUCCUUCACCAUGUCUGAUUGGUGGCUGCAGUGAUCCUGCUGUGAUGAUAACAGGUCUGAACCUCUGAAGCUGUAAACCAGCCCUAAUGAAAUGGUGUCCUUUUAAGAGUUGCCUUGGCCAUGGUGUCUGUUCACACAACUAAAGUCCUAAGCUGAGGAAUAUUGAAUGGCUGUGAAGUACCUAUAGAAAUGUUCAACAACCUUAGUCAUCAGGGGAAUGCAAAUCAAAACAAUGCUGAGAUUCCUCCUCACACCCCUCAGCAUGGCUAAGAACAAAAACUCAGGUGAUGACAGAUGCUGGCAAGGAUGUGGAGAAAGAGGAACACUCCUCCACUGUUACUUGGAUAGCAAGCCAGUACAACUGCUCUGGAAAUCAGUUGGGAGUUUCCUCAGAAAAUUGGACAUAGUACUACCUGAGGACCCAGGUAUACUCAUUCCUGGGCAUAGAAUCAAUAGAUGCUCCAACAUAUAACAGACAAACAUGCUCCAGUAAGUCCAUAGAAGCCUUAUUUUUAAUAGCUAGAAUCUGGAAAGAACCCAGAAGUCCAUCAACAAAAGAAUGGAUACAGAGAAUGUGGUUCAAUUACACAAACGCAGUACUACUCAGCUAUUAAAAAGACAAUGACUUCAUGAAAUUCAUAGGCAAAAGGAUGGAACUAGAAAAUAUCAUCUUGAGUGAGGUGACCCUAUCAGAAAAUAACACAGAUGGUGUGCACUCACUGAUAAGUGAAUAGUAGCCCUGAAGCUCAGAUGAGCCAAGGUGCAAUCCACAGAUCACAUAAAGCUCAAGAAGAAGGACAACCAAAAUGUCUAUGUGUCAGUAUUUCUUAGAAGGGGGAACAAAAAUAUUUAUAGUAGGAAAUAUGAAGCCAAAAUUUGGAGAAGGGUUUGAAGAAAAGUAUAAAUAAAUAAAUAAAUUUAAAAAAUCAAAAUAAAAAUAAAGAAAACAUCCACAGUAUAUGGGGAAUUGACAGCACUUUAUCAAAUUACACUGAUCCAUAGAGAUAACUGCAUGCAGAAGACAGAAACUUAGUCCAUUUCAACACCAAGCACAGAAGUCAAUGCCACAUACAUCACAUACAUACGGAUCUGCAUAAUACUUCACACAACAAAUGUGGCAGAGGAGAAAGUAGGAAAUAUGUUUGACUUUACUGUACAGAAUGGUACUUCCUGAACAUUAGUCCUAUAGCACAGAGAAUAAAAGCAACCAUUCAUAAAUCAUACCUCCUGAAAUUUAAAACAUGGCAUAAAUCAAUGAUCAUCAUCAUUUGACUGAAUAUGAUGCCUCUGCCAUUCGUAAAAAUCUUAAUAGAUUCUUAUAAAAAUAAGUAUAUUUACAAUACAAACCAAGAUAAACCUUAUCUAUUAAGCUUCACACCUACCAAGUAGCAUUCAUGAUACGUAAAGUAGUCUGCAUGAUUUCAGAACAGAAAUGCAAACAUGGUUAUCCCAAAGCUACAAAUACUGCAAAGUAAACCAGUUACUGGCUCGUAAGAUGUUCUGGUACAGUAGUGGAACACAUAUUAUGGAAAUAAUUCUAUUUCCUGAUUCUAUUUCAGACACACUCUAUGUGAUGGAAGCCAGGCCUGAAACUGCUAAAGCAGCCAAAAUCCUAAGAGUAGAUAUGUCCUGAGCCAAGAGGAAAACUCAGUACUCUUAUCCGUAUCAAUGAAAUGACUGUCAUAGCUAUAGAUCUGUGUUUGGAACCCUCAUUAGAAAAGCAUCAUCUUCUUGUAGGCUAUAGACACUAACACAGAGACCCCAACCUGGAAAGUGUACAGAGAAGGUGGUAACUCCAUUUUAAAUGGGAUGACUCCUUUACGUCUCUCCCUCAAGACUUCAUUAUCUCUAUAGCAAAUAAACGUAGAGAUUCUAAGAGAUUGGGGUGAUAGAUUACUGUAGUGAGUGACUUACCGACAUAAUACCAAGUCCCUAGUAAAAGAGAAGAAAAAACAACAUGGAAUCUGAGAAGUAAUACUAAGAAGUCAAUAGGAUUCAAACAAGGAAUUGCUGAGUGGAUGAAGGUAGAGGUCAGUACUUUCCCUUUCGUGCAUUCAGAGGACCUGUGGGAGCAUCACCUAAGGACGGCACAAUGGCACCAGCCACCCUGGGUUUCCCUUCAGUAUUUAGGUAUUUUAGUAAUAUCUGCAAUUUAAUGAGUAUAAAUAUCCUCCACUUGGGAGGACAGAUGUGAUGUUUGGAUUCCACUGAGCAUGGAUGUUUGUUAAAAUUUAUUCUCAGUCUAAUAGGUCAGGUCUGCACCUGAAGGGUGCACUGUGCACUCACUGAUUUUGGUGAACAGGAUUUUAUGUGUGAAAAGAACAAAUACUUCUCACGCACUUACCAGAUGAUGCAAUCCAGGAGACUUGACCCCCGAUCAAGGAGAAUCCAUGUCUCUGUGAGACCACAUUAUCCUGAAAAUGACUCAUUUCUUCUUCUUUUUCGUGAUUAGGCAGGUAGCAGGCCAGUAACAAGAAUGACUAUAUAUAUAUAUCCAAUUGAAUUAAAUUUUUUCAGAGAUAAGUGACAUCAUGAACAGCAGAUGACAAUUGGAGAAAUGGUAAUUUAUGGAGUCAGGUCUUCACAUGUUAUAAAGUUGUAAAGGAAAGGCAGCAGAGCAUUGUGAGAAAAACAGUCCAAGGAGAUCAAUGGACCCAGAUGUGUAACCCUGUAGCUAUCUGCCCAGGGUUUCAACAGAGGUCAAUGUGUUGCAUUGUUGAGAUGGCAGCUCUGUCCCCCUUUGCACAAAAUCAGAUGCCACUUAGGCUCAUGCACUGCUUCCUCAGGACUUAGCCCUUCCUUUGGGUUAGUUGUCAGUGUCCACAGCCUGCACUAAGCCAACCUUAUCAAUCAGGCCACUGUUCAGUAUUCAUUUUAAUCUCUCAGAGACUCUCAGUCCACUCCUUUGUAGCUUCCCAUCACACAUGUGCCUUCUUGCCUUUAGCUGUUUGUAUGUAGUGCUUCUAGGUUUCUGGUUUGUGCUGUCUUCACUGUAACCCUCCACCAUAGAGCCUAUAGUUUGACCAAACACUGACCUCUAACUCCGUCUUUCAGUUAAAUCUCUUCCCGAUAUAUACUACAUGCACUUAAUAUGUGAAGGGAGUGUACAUUGCCUGUCCCUCUGAUUUGUGAGGAUAUAUCAUAAAGUUGCUAAAUAGAACACCUUGGUGUCACAGACUGUAUUGUUUGUCCAAGGGACUUAGCAUAUGAGUUUUGAAUUAAACUGCUUGCCUCUUAAUUGUAAGAGUUUCCCAUUAAAAUGUUCAAAGUGAAAGUCUUGCAUUUUAAAAUUUUUAUUGCAUCAGUAGCUUUUUAGUGUAUUUUCAAGGGAAAACAAUCUUUAACCCUACUCUUACUUCUCAUAUUAUCAAGUCAUGUGUUAUUAGUUGGCAAAGAGAAGACAGUUGAAAUGUGGCUUCUCUGAAUUUUCUUUCUUUCCUUUCCUUCCUCCUUUCUUUCCUUUUUUUCUUUCUUUAUUUUUGUAAAACGUUUAUUCUGCUCCCUCCACAAGUGGCCAUUAAUGGUGACUUUAUGAGCCAUUCCAAAUACCUGAGAUGAUGGUGAUGCUCCAUUCUCGUGUAGGGCGUUUUGAGGAAAACACCCUUAUUAUAUUCAUGACUGUCAUUACUUUGUCACAUCCAGAAGACCUAGUUUCACAGCACGUCUCCCCACAUUUUGUCCUUAUAUCUUUUCUGACUCCCUCUUCCACAACAGUACCUGAGCCUUGGAGGAUGUUGUGCUGUUUGAUUUUAAUGAACUUUCCAUAAAUCUACAUAUAAUCUGGGAAGACUGAAUCAGAGUAGAGGUAUCUUCUCCAUCACAUUGUCUUGAAGGAAGUCUGUGGGUCAUUUUCUGUGGUUAAUGUAGAAUGUCCCCUGUAAUUGUAGGUGGUGAUACUAGAUGUUGGUACUUCUGGGUGGAUGGGCCUCAGUUGUAUAAGAAAACAGGUUGAGGGGCUGGGGAUUUAGCUCAGUGGUAGAGCGCUUGCCUAGGAAGCGCAAGGCCCUGGGUUCGGUCCCCAGCUCCGGAAAAAAAAAAAAAAAAAAAGAAAACAGGUUGAGCAAAUCAUGUGAACAAGGCAGUAAUCUCUGCCCCUCCCCACUCUCUCUCUCUCUCUCUCUCUCUCUCUCUCUCUCUCUCUCUCUGUGUGUGUGUGUGUGUGUGUGUGUGUGUGUGUGUGUGUGUAAGUGACAAAGUCCAUAUGUAGAGGUGAGAGUGCAAUGUCUUAGAAUUGGUUUGAUCCUCCUACCAAGAUUGCAGGUCAUCAGGCUUGAAUGGAAAAUGAUCUUAGGUGCUGUGUCAUCUCAAUGGUUGCUUUCCUACAAAUUUCUUCCCAUUGACAUUCUUUUCAUUUAAAAAGCAGAAGCAUUUCUAAUAUUUCUGUCACUUUCUAAGUACAUCAAAUCUUAGACAAUAUUAAGGAACACGUAAGGAUGUGCAAGUACUUUAGAGGCAGUGCGAGUUUGCUUCACACAUGGAAGGCAGCUCUCGAACUGUGAAGACAAGCACAACAUUUUAAGGGAAG